UACAGAGGUUCCAAGCGUUGUUCGGAUUCACUGGGCGUAAAGGGUGCGUAGGUGGUCAGGUAAGUCUGAUGUGAAAUCUCUGGGCUCAACCCAGAAACUGCAUUGGAUACUAUCUGGCUAGAGGAGUGGAGGGGGGACUGGAAUACUUGGUGUAGCAGUGAAAUGCGUAGAUAUCAAGUGGAACACCAGUGGCGAAGGCGAGUCCCUGGACACUUCCUGACACUGAGGCACGAAAGCUAGGGGAGCAAACAGG
rnacentral:rRNA from 1 species